GUCUAUGGCCAUGCCACCCUGAACAAGCUCAAUCCCGUCUGAUCUUGGAAGCUAAACAGGGUCAGGUCUGGUUAGUACUUGGAUGGGAGACCACCUAGGAAGACUAGGUGCUGUAGGUG
rnacentral:rRNA from 1 species